GGAAUAUUGGACAAUGGGGGAAACCCUGAUCCAGCAACGCCGCGUGGAGGAUGAAGGUCUUCGGAUCGUAAACUCCUGUCAGACGGGACGAAGGGCUGCGGGUGAAUAACUCGUAGUCUUGACGGUACUGUCAGAGGAAGCCCCGGCUAACUCCGUGCCAGCAGCCGCGGUAAUACGGAGGGGGCGAGCGUUAUUCGGAAUUAUGGGGCGUAAAGGGCGCGUAGGCGGCUCGAUAAGUCAAAGGUGAAAUCCCUCGGCUCAACUGAGGAACUGCCUUUGAAACUGUCGAGCUCGAGUCCGGGAGGGGGUAGCGGAAUUCCCAGUGUAGCGGUGAAAUGCGUAGAUAUUGGGAGGAACACCAGUGGCGAAGGCGGCUACCUGGACCGGAACUGACGCUGAUGCGCGAAAGCGUGGGUAGCAAAC
rnacentral:rRNA from 1 species